rnacentral:tRNA from 1 species
GCGGACGUAGCUCAAUUGGCUAGAGCUCCUGCCUUCCAAGCAGGUUGUUGUGGGUUCGAGUCCCAUCGUCCGCUCCA